GUUAGUGCGGAGUUAUCGAGACGAAUAGUGUGCCGCGUGGGUGUCAACAGUCUGCAGUUGUAGUCUCGACGAAAUAAAAAAUUCUGCUCGGACGCGGUUCGAGAGGGGAAUUUAAAGAUAUGAACAGUGGGGAGUUAUUAUUUCGCAAUUCGUGCGCGUUUCAUCUUUGUUCGAAUUCAUAACAUAUUACACGAAAAACGAAAACAUCACGUCGAGUCAAUGCGCGAAACAGUGUAGGGUUUCCAAAUCGGAUUUCGAAAUCAAGGUCUAUUAUGUAUAGGAAUACAUCCCUUUAUGAAUAAAAACUGGAAUAAGCGCCUUUUGGAGAAAACAACUCGGAUUAUAUCCAUCACUAUUCCUGAAAAAUAUUUUCCUAAAUUAAUUGUUCCUGACGAAAAUUAAGCGUCACCGCGUUAACACCGGUCACGGGCGCCCAGUUACUCGUGACAUCUACGAGUUUACAUCAGCGUUCAACGUGUUAAAUAACGAAUGACUAUAGCACCUGAGCGCCUUUAUACCAACAGCGCCCGGGGCAAGGAUACCCACUUCCCCCCCUUCCAGAUCACUGCAUAGGAAAUAGGAAGACGUGGAACAGAGACAUGGGAGAAUGGUUAGUAUGAUAAUAUGAUUAUUAUAAUAAUAUUUUUAUUCUGAGUAAUAACUUACCGUCUACUAGAUGUGUCUUUUACAACAUGAUCCAAUGGAUUCGAUUGAAUAGAGGAAUAAACCUAUAAUAUCUAUAAUAAAAAAAAAAUUUGAAAAGUCGCAAUAAUGGUUAG